AACGAACGCUGGCGGCAGGCCUAACACAUGCAAGUCGAGCGAGGACUUCGGUCCUAGCGGCGGACGGGUGAGUAACGCGUUGGAACGUGCCCUUUGCUUCGGAAUCGCCCUGGGAAACUGGGAGUAAUACCGGUUGAGCCCUUUGGUGGAAAGAUUUAUCGGCGAAGGAUCGUCCCGCUUUGGAUUAGGUAGUUGGUUGGGUAAUGGCCUACCAAGCCGAGGAUCCAUAGCUGUUUUGAGAGGAUGAUCAGCCACACUGGGACUGAGACACGGCCCAGACUACUACGGGAGGGAGCAGUGGGGAAUAGUAGAAAAUGGGGGAAAAGCUGAACUAGCCAUGCCGCGUGAGAGAUGAAGGCCUUAGGGUUGUAAAGCACUAUAAGCUGGGAAGAUAAUGACGGUACCAGAAGAAGAAGCACCGGCUAACUCCGUG
rnacentral:rRNA from 1 species